GAUGAACGCUGACAGAAUGCUUAACACAUGCAAGUCGAUGGGGAAGUGGUGCUUGCACCAUGGUAACCAUGGCGGACGGGUGAGUAACGCGUAAGGAACUUGCCUGCGGGACUGGGAUAACAGCAGGAAACUGCUGAUAAUACCGGAUAAGGUCAUUAAGCUGCAUAGCUUGGUGAUGAAAGGAGACGCCUGCGGAGAGCCUUGCGUCCUAUUAGCUAGUUGGAGGGGUAACGGCCCACCAAGGCGAAGAUAGGUAGCCGGCCUGAGAGGGUGGACGGCCACAAGGGGACUGAGAUACGGCCCUUACUCCUACGGGAGGCAGCAGUGGGGAAUAUUGGACAAUGGGGGCAACCCUGAUCCAGCAAUUCUGUGUGCACGAAGACGGUUUUCGGAUUGUAAAGUGCUUUCAGCAGGGAAGAAGGAAGUGACGGUACCUGCAGAAGAAGCGACGGCUAAAUACGUGCCAGCAGCCGCGGUAAUACGUAUGUCGCGAGCGUUAUCCGGAAUUAUUGGGCAUAAAGGGCAUCUAGGCGGCCUUUCAAGUCAGGGGUGAAAACCUGCGGCUCAACCGCAGGCCUGCCUUUGAAACUGAUAGGCUGGAGUACCGGAGAGGUGGACGGAACUGCACGAGUAGAGGUGAAAUUCGUAGAUAUGCGCAGGAAUGCCGAUGAUGAAGAUAGUUCACUGGACGGUAACUGACGCUGAAGUGCGAAAGCCGGGGGAGCGAACAGG
rnacentral:rRNA from 1 species